rnacentral:rRNA from 1 species
UACGUAGGGACCAAGCGUUGUUCGGAUUUACUGGGCGUAAAGGGCGCGUAGGCGGCUUGUCAAGUCACUUGUGAAAUCUCUGGGCUUAACCCAGAACGGCCAAGUGAAACUGACAUGCUAGAGUGCAGAAGGGGCAAUCGGAAUUCCCGGUGUAGUGGUGGAAUGCGUAGAUAUCGGGAGGAACACCAGUGGCGAAGGCGGUUGCCUGGAGCUUUGCUGACGCUGAUGCGCGAAAGCGUGGGGAGCGAUCCGG